GACGAACGCUGGCGGCGUGCCUAACACAUGCAAGUCGAGCGGAGAUAAGCUGAAGGUAACGGAAGUUUAUCUUAGCGGCGGACGGGUGAGUAACACGUGGGCAACCUGCCUUGAAGUGGGGGAUAACACCGGGAAAUCGGUGCUAAUACCGCAUGAGAUACACAAACCGCAUGGUAUGAGUAUGAAAGGAGAAAUCCGCUUUAAGAUGGGCCCGCGUCUGAUUAGCUAGUUGGUAAGGUAAAGGCUUACCAAGGCGACGAUCAGUAGCCGACCUGAGAGGGUGACCGGCCACACUGGAACUGAGACACGGUCCAGACUCCUACGGGAGGCAGCAGUGGGGAAUAUUGCGCAAUGGGGGGAACCCUGACGCAGCAACGCCGCGUGGAGGAAGAAGGUCUUCGGAUUGUAAACUCCUGUCUUCUGGGAAGAUAAUGACGGUACCAGAGGAGGAAGCCACGGCUAACUACGUG
rnacentral:rRNA from 1 species